rnacentral:rRNA from 1 species
ACUUACGACCACACCGGCCUGAGUACGCCUGAUCUCGUCUGAUCUCGGAAGCUAAGCAGGGUUCGGCCCUGGUUAGUAUUUGGAUGGGAGACCGCCUGGGAAGUACCAGGUGCUGUAAGCU